GAGUUUGAUCAUGGCUCAGAUUGAACGCUGGCGGCAUGCCUUACACAUGCAAGUCGAACGGCAGCACGGGAGCUUGCUCCUGGUGGCGAGUGGCGAACGGGUGAGUAAUGCAUCGGAACGUAUCCUGGAGUGGGGGAUAACGUAGCGAAAGUUACGCUAAUACCGCAUAUUCUGUGAGCAGGAAAGCGGGGGACCUUCGGGCCUCGCGCUCUUGGAGCGGCCGAUGUCGGAUUAGCUAGUUGGUGAGGUAAAGGCUCACCAAGGCGACGAUCCGUAGCAGGUCUGAGAGGAUGAUCUGCCACACUGGAACUGAGACACGGUCCAGACUCCUACGGAGGCAGCAGUGGGAAUUUUGGACAAUGGGGCAACCCUGAUCCAGCCAUGCCGCGUGA
rnacentral:rRNA from 1 species